AAUAUUCAAAUUGUGUAAUCCACAUAGUAUCUGGCCAGUUUAUAUUUUUUUCCUGACAAAUAACUACCGUUGGUCAUCUAAAACUUCAUAAAUGUUCAACAAACCUAAGACAGAUAUUGGGGGAUGUGGAGACCAUUGUUAGAUUAGUUUGCCUAGAUUAGAAUGAUGACAAUCUGUGUGUGAAAGGAGGCAAGACAGUAGGAUAGCCCAGUAGUGCUUCUUGGAGAAAAAGCACAUUUCUUUCUAUAUCAAAUGGUCAUAGAACUAAACAAAUAAGUCUGCCCAUUCUUACUUCCUACCCCUAGCAUUUGAAUUUGAAAACCAAGAGUUCUUGUUUAGACUCUUGUCUAGA
rnacentral:lncRNA from 1 species